UACGGAGGGUGCAAGCGUUAUCCGGAUUUACUGGGUUUAAAGGGUGCGCAGGCGGAUAUGUAAGUCAGUGGUGAAAUCUCCGGGCUUAACCCGGAAACUGCCGUUGAUACUAUAUAUCUUGAAUGCUGUGGAGGUAAGCAGAAUAUGUCAUGUAGCGGUGAAAUGCUUAGAGAUGACAUAGAAUACCUAUUGCGAAGGCAGCUUACUACGCAGAUAUUGACGCUCAUGCACGAAAGCGUGGGGAAUCAAACAGGGAAUUAGAUACCCCGG
rnacentral:rRNA from 1 species